rnacentral:rRNA from 1 species
UACGGAGGGGGCAAGCGUUGUUCGGAAUUAUUGGGCGUAAAGGGCGCGUAGGCGGCUGGUCAAGUCAGGUGUGAAAUCCCUCGGCUCAACCGAGGAAUGGCACUUGAUACUGACCGGCUGGAGUCCGGGAGGGGGUAGCGGAAUUCCCAGUGUAGCGGUGAAAUGCGUAGAUAUUGGGAAGAACACCUGUAGCGAAGGCGGCUACCUGGACCGGAACUGACGCUGAGGCGCGAAAGCCAGGGGAGCGAAUGGG